GGAGAGGUGGCCGAGUGGUUUAAGGCGCACGCCUGGAAAGCGUGUAUAGGAAGCCCCUAUCCAGGGUUCGAAUCCCUGCCUCUCCG
rnacentral:tRNA from 1 species